CUUCUGGAUGAGCGUAAAAUGACAAGCAUAUGGCUGAAUUGCGGUGAUUAUCAUCUUACUACUGAGAAG